AACGAACGCUGGCGGCAUGCCUAACACAUGCAAGUCGAACGAAGCCUUCGGGCUUAGUGGCGCACGGGUGCGUAACGCGUGGGAAUCUGCCCUUGGGUUCGGAAUAACAGUUAGAAAUGACUGCUAAUACCGCAUGAUCUCUUCGGAGCAAAGAGGGGGACCGCAAGGCCUCUCGCUUCUGGAUGAGCCUACGUCUGAUUAGCUAGUUGGUAGGGUAAAGGCCUACCAAGGCGACGAUCAGUAACUGGUCUGAGAGGAUGAUCAGUCACACCGGAACUGAGACACGGUCCGGACUCCUACGGGAGGCAGCAGUGGGGAAUAUUGGACAAUGGGCGCAAGCCUGAUCCAGCAAUGCCGCGUGUGUGAAGAAGGCCUUCGGGUUGUAAAGCACUUUAGCCUGGAAAGAAAAAACUUUGGUUAACACCCAAAGUCUUGACGGUACCAGGAGAAUAAGCACCGGCUAACUCUGUGCCAGCAGCCGCCGUAAUAC
rnacentral:rRNA from 1 species